AAACUUUUGAGUUUGAUGAUGGCUCUGAUUGAACGCUGUCCAAGUACUUGACACAUGCUAAUCGAACGACUAAUUAGUUUUUUAAACUGAAUAGUAGUGGUGUACAGGUGAGUAAAAGAUAAUUUGGCUACCUUAAAGUAAGGGAAAAGAUCCCUUAUAUAUAGAAAGGAAAUUAAAAGGUCCGCUUUAAGAUGUUAUUCUUUAUCUCGGUGAGUAGUAGAAAAGGUAAUGUCUUUUUCUAGCUAAUAUCCGUAGUCGUGACUGAGAGGUCGAUCGACCACAUUGGGUCUGAAAAAACCCCAAUGCGUAUUAGUACAGCAGUGAGGAAUAUUGGUCAAUGGCCUAAAGGCUGAACCAGUAACUUGGAAGAAUGAAAAUGUAUUAGUAAUAAUACAAUAACGAUUAAUUCGUAUAAAAUUCUAAAUAGGAUAAUGAUAAUGACAAUUUCCUAUUUAUAAGUCUUGACCAAAUUACGUGCCAGCAGUCGCGGUAAUACGUAGAAGACUAGUGUUAGUCAUCUUUAUUAGGUUUAAAGGGUA
rnacentral:ncRNA from 1 species